UUGGGGUGGGGGAGAACAGAAAGGAAGACGGUCUCUACCAUGGCUAAACUGCUUUCUUUUUUUUUCUUCUUCUUUUUCUGCAGGUUGGAUUUAAAAGGUCGGAGGACACUGUCACAGUAACUCGAUACCCACAGGGUGAUGGAGAUCGUCUGGAAGAAAGGUUCAAGGUGCUGCACUUACAUGUUCGCUUCAAGUAAGAGGUCCAAGAGCAUCCUCUCUGUGCGAACUUGUGCGAAGUGAAGGGAAGAGUUCAGCCUGUUUCGAAACGCAAUGAACUCCGGGAUCUUCUCAAACGCACCGUACUUGUAGGCUUGAAUGAUAUAUUCUGAGGUCUGGAAGAGAACACACAUUGUCCCUGUAUUAGUGACUUGCAUACAUCCAAAACAACCAGAGUUCAACAAGGCCACUGCCAAGAAACUGCAUUUCUGUGGUUGUCAUUACCCCAGAGGCACAGAAUCUGGCACUUCUGCUUGUCCAAGUCACCCCAGCAGUUUUGCUAUUUUGAGAACACCCAAAUACUCUACCAGGCAGGUGGUUUAACAACCAGACCAGCACUAAGGUACAUCACAUUGCUAUCACCACUGAGACCGAUAAAUGCUUAGAGGGGAGAGAUGAUUUUGGAAGGCUUUUUUUUCCUCUCUCUCUCUCUGCGUUAUUCAGAUGAUUAAAUCAUUCUUUCAUUGUGAGAAGUACUUCCAGGCAAAAUAAAUACACCCCAGAUUUUCUAGCACUGACCUGCAUGUGCAUCACGUUACCACAACAUAGAUUAAAAAGAACUACUCACACA